rnacentral:rRNA from 1 species
CGGACCGGCGCACGGGUGAGUAACGCGUAUGCAACUUGCCUAUCAGGAGGGGGAUAACCCGGCGAAAGUCGGACUAAUACCGCAUGAAGCAGGGGCCCCGCAUGGGGAUAUUUGCUAAAGAUUCAUCGCUGAUAGAUAGGCAUGCGUUCCAUUAGGCAGUUGGCGGGGUAACGGCCCACCAAACCGACGAUGGAUAGGGGUUCUGAGAGGAAGGUCCCCCACAUUGGAACUGAGACACGGUCCAAACUCCUACGGGAGGCAGCAG